rnacentral:rRNA from 1 species
AGCGAUUCCGGCAACGGAUGGGCAUGCGUGACAUUAGCUAGUUGGCGGGGCAACGGCCCACCAAGGCGACGAUGUCUAGGGGUUCUGAGAGGAAGGUCCCCCACACUGGUACUGAGACACGGACCAGACUCCUACGGGAGGCAGCAGUGAGGAAUAUUGGUCAAUGGGCGCGAGCCUGAACCAGCCAAGUCGCGUGAGGGAUGACGGCCCUACGGGUUGUAAACCUCUUUUGUCGGGGAGCAAAUUCCGCCACGUGUGGCGGAGUCGAGAGUACCCGAAGAAAAAGCAUCGGCUAACUCCGUGCCAGCAGCCGCGGUAAUACGGAGGAUGCGAGCGUUAUCCGGAUUUAUUGGGUUUAAAGGGUGCGUAGGCGGACUGUCAAGUCAGCGGUAAAAUACGGGGGCUCAACCUCCGCCCGCCGUUGAAACUGACGGUCUUGAGUGGGCGAGAAGUAUGCGGAAUGCGUGGUGUAGCGGUGAAAUGCAUAGAUAUCACGCAGAACUCCGAUUGCGAAGGCAGCAUACCGGCGCCCAACUGACGCUGAAGCACGAAAGCGUGGGUAUCGAACAGGAUUAGAUACCCUGGUAGUCCACGCAGUAAACGAUGAAUACUAGCUGUCCGGGGCGAAUGGGCCCUGG